GUGGGAAGUUCUGUUACAUGGGGCAUCGACGCUUUCUUCAUAAAAACCAUAGGUGGAGGAAAGAUAAAAAAUCUUUUGAUGGUACCAUAGAAACCAGAGAACCACCAACACCCUUAACAGGACAAAAUGUGAUGGACCAAGUGGCUGAUCUAGAGGGGAUUAUCUUGUCUAAAGAUGCAAGUAAGAAGACAAAGGUGUCCCACGAUGAAAGAGGAGAUAGCUGGAACAAAAGAAGUAUAUUUUGUAAUUUGCCAUAUUUCAAAACUCUCUUGUUGCGCCAUAACCUUGAUGUCAUGCAUAUAGAAAAGAAUAUAUGUGAUAGCAGCAUGGCAACAAUUAUGGAUGUCAAAGGAAAAACGAAGGAUAACAUAAAUUCUCGGCACGAUUUGCAACGAAUGAAAAUAAGGCCAGGUAUGCAUCCGGACAAGGAAGGGGACAAGCCUACUUUUCCAUCUGUGCCUUUCACUUUGCUUCCACCCAAUAAGAUUUUGUUCCUUCGGUUUUUUAAGGACCUCGAAGUUCCAGAUGGAUGUUUUUCAAACCUUGGCCGCUGCACUAAUAUGAAAGAGAAAAAAAAUUUAGGACUGAAGAGCCACGACUGCCAUGUUAUACUAAAUCAUUUACUUCCUCUUGCACUGCGUGGACUUGUUCCCCAGAAUAUUUAUGACCCUUUGGUUGAGCUUUCACAAUUCUUUUGCAAAUUAAACUCCAAAUCACUUUCAGUAGAAGAACUUAAUGAAAUGCAGGCCCAAAUACCUGUGACACUAUGUAAGCUUGAAAAGGAAUUCCCACCGUCCUUUUUUGAUGUCAUGAUGCAUCUGCCUGUUCAUUUGGCUAAUGACGCUCUUGUUGGUGGACGUACAAUAUAUCGGUGGAUGUAUCUCUUUGAGAGACAAAUAAAGUGUCUGAAAUCGCUAGUGCGAAAUUUGGCACGACCUGAGGCUUCCAUUGCAGAGGGAUACAUUGCAGAAGAGUUCAUUACAUUGUGCUCUAGGUAUUUGGAUGAUGUCGAGACAAAGCAUAACCGACCAGGCAGAAUCAAUGAUGCACCAGGGGAUGACAACUAUUAUUUUUCAAUAUUCAAUCCGGAUGGAAGGCCAUCCGGUGGUCGUAAACCUAGAGAUCUUAAUCUUCUUGAAGCAGAGCAAGCUCAUAUUUAUGUUUUGAGAAAUUGUGAUGAAGUUCAACCAUAUAUCAGUGAGUACUCCAGUAGUCAAGAUGGAUGUUCACUGCAACCAUUUACCACCACGUGGAACCAGAAGUUCAAUCAGUGGUUCAAAGAGAAGGUAGCCAGCUUGCGCGAACAUGAUAAGAGUGAGCUCACCGAAGACCUUUUGGCACUAUCACGUGGUCCAUUGGAAAAUGUAACAUGUUUUACUGGCUAUGACAUGAAUGGAUUCAGAUAUCGUGUUCAAAGUCGAGAUAGACACCUCUGCACACAGAACAGUGGGGUGGCUGUACUUUCAGAACAAGGGGAUAAUGGUAAUGCAGUAGAAUAUUAUGGCAUAUUGACAGAGAUAGUCAAACUGCAAUACUUAGGUGGAAGGCGUGUGACAUUAUUCCGUUGCAACUGGAUUGACGUAUUUGACAAAGAGCAUGGGAUGAAGAAAGACAACAAGCAUGGAAUCGUUAGUCUUAACCUGUAGCGUUUGCUUCUGACAGAUGAGCCUUUCGUUCUAGCUAGCCAAGUCUCUCAAGUAUUUUUUGUCAAGGACAAUCUUAUAAAAGGAUGGCACGCAGUCGUGAAAAAUCCAUCACGUCAUGCUUAUAGUGUACCACAUGGACAGUCUGAUGAUGAAGCCUCUGAAGCUGAACCUGACAAUGGCGAUGAAGAUGACUUGCUUCAAAAUUCGACAUCAACAUCACGUAGAAAGAGAACAACAUGAUGACACUAGUUUAUGCAACUCUUAAUCUGUAGCAAUCGAUUUGCUUCAUAUUUUUGCUUUUACCUUAUUAAUAAACAGUGACACAAGUAGUUAUGUACUUACUUAAUUUGAUUUAGCAUUCAAUAAUUCAUUAUCAGUAUAUCAAUAUUCACUUAUUUAAUUCAAUUUUACUUUGUAUAGCCUUUGUGCACACUUCAAACUAACUCUAUAUGCGUAGGGUAUCACAAUGAGUCAGCACAGGUAUGGAAACUUGACAGCAUUAGCUCGGGAAAGAUGCUCCUCACAGUUGAAUAAGUCUGGACUGGUACACCAGGGUAUUGCUAGGCGGACCUUGCCAGAGAAAUCAAGUCAAAUAGCAGAUUUCAACAGAAAAAGGGUUACUCACAAGCCUCAUUUGCAAGAUGAGGAACUGUGGAAAAAGUAUGAGUUAGCUGCAAAAGAUGGAAAUGAUGCGGCAACAAAUACACCAAUCUUGUUUACUACAAAUUGGGAUGCUGAUGAUUCCGGAACUAUGAGUGAUGAAGCUGAUACCAGCAAUGAUGGUGACAUGGGAAAUGAUAUGCAUGAUUUUCAUGAUGGUGCAAAUGGUGCAGAUGAAUUAAUGGGUAAUGAAAAUCUGGAAAGUGAAGAAUCCUAGGAUAGCCAUGGCUUUGCAGGUACCUCAAAGACCAGUAAGCACAACAAUGCAACUGAAUUAGUUGAUGAAAAUCUGGAAAAUGAAGAAGUGCGGGGUAACCAUGACCUUACAGCUACGUCCAAGACUAGACCUCAAACAGGUGAAAAGCGCAGGGUCCGUGGGAAAAAUAAAUGCAAGGAAGUAGCUGAUCUCAUGGAGUCCCAAAAAAUUAAAGUCCGGUUUUACAAUAACCGUGCGCUUUCCAAAAGUUUUGCACGACACUUUUGUAGAAUCGUCCGUAAUCCUGGAAUUACCCCGAUGAGGGUAAAGGAAUGGUCCAAUAUUACUGAUGCAGCUCGGAAACAUAUAUUUGAUGCAAUUAAGGUAUGUUUGGUUCAAAGUUCUAGCAUUAUAAUCUGAUUUUCUGUACUGAUGUAUUUAUGAGACUCUGUUUUAUGAACAACUAUUUAGGACAAGUUCGAAAAUAUUGACGACAACAUUGAAUAGAUGUGUACAAAGAUGAGAUAUUAGACCAUCUAAAGAAACUUUGGAUCAACUGGCGUGGAGACUUGCACCGGCAUUUUGUGAAACCCAACAAGACUAUGCAGGAAGCUAUGAAAAAGGUACCUAAAGAUAUUCCAAAGGAUGACUGGGAAUGGCUUGUCAAGGAGCAUUUUUUCAGCAGGGAGUUUCUGAAAAAGAGCAAGAGAAACACCCAAAACAGAGCUAACCUCAAAAUGCUUCACCGAUCUGGCAGUAAACCCUUUAGACAGAUAAUUUGGGACAUGGGAGGAAAGGAAAACAAGCCACCGAGUAUGGAUAAACUAUUUUCAGAGACACACAAGAAGGGUACAGACUUCCCUGAUUCUACAACCUCCGCCAAACAUGCAAAAAUUAAGACCAUAGUUCAGUUGAAUCCUGGUCUUUCAAAUGAUGAAGUCAUGCAGAAAUGUGACACAUCUAAGCGGCGUGAUCGCGUAGUUGGAUUUGGUGGUGGAAUUAGAGCAAGAGAUUUGCGAGGACCAGCAUUAAGUAAGGCUGAAUCAAUUUCUCAACUUCAAGCUUCUGAGCAAGCGAAACAAGUACUCGAAGAAAAGGUCAAUGGCAUGGCGCAAGAAGUAUCAGAAAUUAAGCAUCUUCUAUCUGGUAGAUCUCUAACUGAUAGUUCUCAUGAACGCCAACAUGAUCAAGACUGAUGGUCCACCAGAAUAUAUAUAAGCAUAAGGAAGAAUAUAUAUAAGCAUAAGGAGGCAUUGUAAUCGCUGGUGAAGAAUGAUAUCCAUUCAACCAACGAUGGCGUCCCUCUAUUGAAGACUAAUAAAUAUUAUCUUUUCUACUUGUCUCGUUUUCCAUAUAGAUAUGUUCAAAUACAUUGGUGAUAUAAGGAGUGCUUUUGACUCAAUUUUCUUAGAAGAUAUUUUAGUUUCAGAAUUGUGUGCCAGAAUAUUUGUACUUCUAUUAAUAAAAGAUGUUAUGAUCCUUUCAAUUAAGAUUCUUUUGUUUCUAUAUUAAUGUGGAUGUUAAUAUUGAAAUGUUGGAUGCUGCAUAAAGUGAUUGUUGAAGGAAUGUUAUAAUAUAAGUGGUUCUAAAGAAUAUGAAAGUGUUAAGAGAGUGGUCGGUAAUGAUACUUUGGCCAGCAUGCUAACAUUAUUAGCGACGACAAAAGUGGUUGUUAUUGCCUUGGGAUCGACACACCAUCCCACUAUUAUUAGCGACGACAAA